CGGGAGGCAGCAGUAGGGAAUUUUGCGCAAUGGGGGGAACCCUGACGCAGCGACGCCGCGUGAGCGAAGAAGGCCUUCGGGUCUUAAAGCUCUGUCCUAUGGGACGAGAGAGGACGGUACCAUAGGAGGAAGCCCCGACUAACUACGUGCCAGCAGCCGCGGUAAU
rnacentral:rRNA from 1 species